UCGACAUCAUCGUAGACGUGGACUUAAAAGCGGAAGUCAGGUUUGAGGACUAUUUUGCGGCCGGCGUCCACAUCAGAAUGCAAGUGUGCAAGAGUGAAUUCAUAAUCGCAAGGAUCACCUGCCCUUCGCACUUGUUGGUGAAAAAAGUGAGGCCCGUUGUAACGACCAUCCUUGCAGCAUCAUUCCAGAAGACGCUGUGCAGAGUGGUGGAAAUGGUCAUCAACGUGGCGAGGGUCGAUUUUCUAUACACUGCCAACGGUGAGUUUCU